rnacentral:lncRNA from 12 species
GUUUGAAAAGAGCAAGGGGAAAUGGGAGAGGGGAGGACAGAGCAGCGCAGGGGAGAGCGAGAGGGCAGAGACAGGUCUGUCUCUGGCUGUCGGAAAUGCUGGGGGAGGAGAUGCUUGCCCUGUUUCAGGGAAACAUGAGAUAUCAACAUUAAAGCUGGCAGAUUCAAAUGGGGAGAGAAAUUCAUGCUUUGUACAGUUAAAGGAAAAAGUUUUUGAUUUAGCUUCUGAGCUUUUCGUCCAACCGUGUGCUGAUGUUUGUAGAUAUUGCAGCACUAGGUUCAAGGAGGAGACACUGAAGAAGACUGUCGUGAGCCUUCGUCAACGACCACCAGAAGGCAGGAAUAAGACCCCCUAGCAACUGGCGGAGCAGGCGCAGAAGUAACCGAAAGAAUGACUCGACAGAAAGACCAGAGACUUAAAAGGGGGAUCCGAACCACGAUCGGGGCGGCAGUUGGUGGAGUGGUGACUCCCCUGUCGCCCAGCGCUGCAACUUUGCUUUCUCUUUUCUGUAACAAUAAAUUGGCUAAAUAAUUGAUCUGAAUAGCCCAUUGUGCUCAUUUAUAACAACAACAAAAAUAC